UUUUAUGAUUUUUUUAAGGUAUCCCUGAACAGAAAAAAAAAUAUUUGCCCUACUUUCAUAUGUGAGCAAUCCACCAUAUGUUCCCAAUUAAAUCUAUACUAAUUAGGUGGUGAAGGGUUAAAUAAAAAAAAUGUUUACAGUGGAAUUUGACUCCCACGUGACAUACCUUUAGAAAUACAUAAAAGGAUCCGGAUUUGAUACAUAAUUAUUAGGCAUGGAAGCUAGACUGCUAUUUUUAAAGGGACAUUCCAAUUAGCAAAACAACAUUUUU